ACGUGACAGCCGCGGGGCGCGGAGCAACUGGUUGAGCCUCUGCGCCCUGGCUUGUGAGACCGGCUGUGAGAGCUGCGGUUUCCUGGCCACGCCCCCGGCCUCUCCUGCUUCUCUUUUUUGAAUGUGGCACAGGGACACUACUGACUCGACCAUGUGACAGGCCUUCCUACUGCCCCAGAAGCUGAGCAAGAAGGGCGCAGGGGCCUGACCACCACGUGGGCGGGUGAUCAACAAUGUGUCCAGCAGGAUAUCAGAAACCUGAGCUCGAGGCCACAGGAAGGAGAAGCAGACCCACAUCCACCGCUGUUUUGGAAGGAGUGCUCUCCAGAUUAAGGACAACAUCCCCACUUGCUUCCCCAGUCCUGUCACCCAUGACAGUUAUUCUUUCAACAAGCAUCACUUAUUCAGGGCUGAUGUUACUUGUGCUGCAGACACAAACACAAAUGAGAUAAGCCACGGAGCAGAUCCUCACAAUGGACAGGGAGAAUGGGGCAUCAACAAAUGGCAACAGAAGUGCACACCAAUAAUCCCAGAACUCGAGAGGCUGAGACAGGAGGAUCACAGUGAGUUUGAGACCAGCCUGGGCUACAGAGAAAGUUCAAGGACAGCCUGGACUACAUAGUGAAACCCUCUCUCCAAAAACCAAGAUGAAAAAAAGCACACACACAAGGAAAAUGGGGACAAGUAUCAUGACAGAAGGCUCUGAGGCAUGAGGACUUUGUCUCUAUCAUUCCCAGUGUCCAAGCUUGACAUGGCCCAUGCCUCUGGCACAAGUCUCUUGGGUGACUGAGAUAAAGAGAAACUUCCGUAAUGGUGACAGUGUUAUGCCUCUCCUUGGGAUGGUGGGGACUAGGCCACCUUGGAUUUUGAACAUCCGCUUAAAAUAUAAGCACUUUGCUUCAUGUAAAUAAAGCUCAUUUGAGUUGACUGCUAA